GGAAUCUUCCACAAUGGACGAAAGUCUGAUGGAGCAACACCGCGUGAGUGAAGAAGGGUUUCGGCUCGUAAAGCUCUGUUGUUAAAGAAGAACACGUAUGAGAGUAACUGUUCAUACGUUGACGGUAUUUAACCAGAAAGUCACGGCUAACUACGUGCCAG
rnacentral:rRNA from 1 species